GAUGAACGCUAGCGGCAGGCCUAAUACAUGCAAGUCGAACGGGAUUCAGAAGCUUGCUUCUGAUGAGAGUGGCGCACGGGUGCGUAACACGUAUGCAACCUACCUCUAAGAGGGGGAUAGCCUGCCGAAAGGGAGAGUAAUACGGCAUAAAAGUAUAGAACGGCAUCGUUUAGUAGUUAAAGUAACAACGGGUAGAGAUGGGCAUGCGCAACAUUAGCUAGUUGGUAAGGUAACGGCUGACCAAGGCUAUGAUGUUUAGGGGAGCUGAGAGGGUUGUCCCCCACACUGGUACUGAGACAGGGACCAGACUCCUACGGGAGGCAGCAGUAAGGAAUAUUGGUCAAUGGACGAAAGUCUGAACCAGCCAUGCCGCGUGUAGGAAGACGGCCUUAUGGGUUGUAAACUGCUUUUAUCAGGGAAUAAAGUGCGUUACGUGUAAUGUAUUGAAUGUACCUGAGGAAUAAGGAUCGGCUAACUCCGUGCCAGCCGCCGCGGUAA
rnacentral:rRNA from 1 species